rnacentral:rRNA from 1 species
UACGUAGGGUGCAAGCGUUAUCCGGAAUUAUUGGGCGUAAAGAGCUCGUAGGCGGUUUGUCGCGUCUGCUGUGAAAACCCGAGGCUCAACCUCGGGCCUGCAGUGGGUACGGGCAGACUAGAGUGCGGUAGGGGAGAUCGGAAUUCCUGGUGUAGCGGUGAAAUGCGCAGAUAUCAGGAGGAACACCGGUGGCGAAGGCGGAUCUCUGGGCCAUUACUGACGCUCAGGCACGAAAGCGUGGGGAGCAAACAGG